GUCCAUGCCGUAAACGGUGGGCGCUAGGUGUAGGGACUUCCACGUCUUCUGUGCCGCAGCUAACGCAUUAAGCGCCCCGCCUGGGGAGUACGGCCGCAAGGCUAAACUCAAAGGAAUUGACGGGGCCCGCACAAGCGGCGGAGCAUGUGGAUUAAUUCGAUGCAACGCGAAGAACCUUACCUGGGCUUGACAUGGACCGGAUCGGCGUAGAGAUACGUUUCCCUUGUGGUCGGUUCACAGGUGGUGCAUGGUUGUCGU
rnacentral:rRNA from 1 species